CAUUUUGUCAACAAAACAGAAUAAAUAUUUUCACAUCGCUUUCGUUCGGUCUGCAGGCUGAAUAAAAUUUGAUAACUACCUGGGAGAUUUUUAAAGGUACAUUAACUUACAUUCAACUGCAUAAUGAGGAGUCAAAAGAAGCUCUUACUGCCCACGGAAACGAUGGAAAGCGAACAAAACUCCGCUGGUUUCCGAAAUAGGACUGUUGGAUCCAUGGCGGACAAACAGAAAUCAACGGUGGCCACCGUAAUCAUCAAGGUGCAGUUUCGCAUAAUAAAGCCCGCAUGAGAUCCAAGCCCCUGAAGAAGUACUUUCGUUCUGGAGGAACAAUCGGUUCUCCGAUUAUGGGAAUAUAAUCACUAUGAAGGAGCCAUCAGUGUGAUUCAGAAGAUAUUAGUGAACCAGGGCAAAUUUGAAGGCUUAUCCGAAAUAAAACAGCCUUAAAGGAGUUCUGGAAGUCGUUGUUUUUCGCGUCUGGCUGGUUGCAACAAGCAGACAAGCCAUUAUAACUUUCGGACCAAGCUCUCUGCCGUGUUUGGCGCCACACCGCUUUUAAAAACCUCUCCGAUUCUGUCAAAUUUCUUCCAUUGGAAAGAAGAAGGUCUUGUGCCGGAAUAUUGUCAGCUGGUUUUUAUUUUUGUGCUAGUGCUUGGAUGUGAUUUUUUUGUCGAAAAAUAUGUGACGGCCGUUUAGUUCACUAAAAAAGAAAUCUGGA